AUGAAUGUGAAAGGUGAGUUUUCUGGUUUUAUAGUUCUGUUAUUACUGUUAAGAAUGAAUCGACCUGGGCCAUUGAUUUCUAUUUUCUGUUAUGGAAUGAGUGGUGAGAUGAGAGUUAGUUAUAGGAAGUUAGUUGAAAAGAGAGUUAAAACUAGGAUGAGAUUGGAUGUUGGUUAUACUGUUAGAAGGGCUGUUAACUGGUUGUUUGCUGAGCUGUGCAACUCGUGUUUGGAUCUUUUCUUGACUUUUUCUUCAGUCUCAGAUUUACUUAACGAGUGCAGGGCCGGUUCAUGUAGCAACCUGAUUUUGUUAUCGAAUAGAUCUGGUUUAUGA